UUCACUUUCCUUACAUUCAGAAUCCUCUCUUCUGCUUCUGGCAAUGCAAACUUUACAGAAGUGAUAGUGAUGCUGGAAGUGUUACAUAUGUAUUGAUGUACCAAAAUGUCAUGUCUAUCCACUAUCUGUUAAUGUCUUAAAAUUUACAUAUUUGCCAUCUAAUAACCUUUUAUAAAUUCUCACUAUGCAGACUCAUUAGAUGCAUGCUGAUCAGUAUUCGGGGAAUGUUGUUUGUUUUUACUGUGAGCAUGUUCCGCCUUUUAUCCUUCAGGGAUUUGUAACAAUGACAUUGCAAUGCUCGGAAGAGAUAAACAACAUAAGCUAUGCCUGGCGAGGGCUAAGAGAACAGCUGGGUGAUGAAAUUGAUAGGAAAGUGAACAGAAUGUGUUUUCUCAAGGGAAAAAUGGUUUACUUUGUGUGCUUGACAACACUGAAGAGCAAGUAGGCAUUUUUACCAUUUCACCUUUAUAAACAAUUUGGGGACCUAUGCUCUAGUUCUUUGUCUUUGUAAAGUGUGAAUUUUUGUGAUGUUGCCUUCACUGAUUUUUUUUUUUCUUUUAAUACCAUUGUUGGUCUGUGAAUUGACUAAAAGUUAUUUUAUGUACAAUGUGGGGCAACAUACACAAACUUCCUUCUAUAACUUGUGACCUGCUGUAUUAGGAUCCUUUCUUCCCUCACUGAAAUAAACAUUUUCAUGAAGUUUACAUUCUACAUUUGAAUAUUUAAAUCCACAGUAAACUUAUACAUCUAUCUGCUUAGAUCAAACUUCUUUGUCGAAAAGAAUUGACAAUCUGAGCCACAUGAGAUAGUGGACAACAUUUUAGGAAAGGAAGAAUAAUAUUGGUGAGAAGUAAGAAAAUAUGUUUGGAAAGAAGUGGCUCUGCAGGAAAGAGAAAAUGUUACCUAGGGAAGAAUUGGUGAAGUACAUGAUGAAAAAGCACAUGUGCUGAACUGCUUAAUGCCUGUGAAAUAGUUUGAUAUCUGGGAUGAAAGGCACUAUAGGUGUGUAAAACAUUGUGCUGCUCCACGUCAGUUUUUUUUCCAAAGGUAAAAUUGCUUUAGCUCCCAAAUAUUCAACAAGUUAAACUUGACUUCAGAAAGUGAAAAUUCACAGAUCCUUUUAAUUAAACUGUCUCUAUUCCCUAAAGGUUGUGUGCUUUAACAAGUAUUUCAGUGUUACCCAAAACUAUGGAUUACAAGGUCUCGAUUUUCUGGAAUCCAUUUUAAACUUUUUUUUUUAGGGGGGUGUUUUGAUAUUCCUGCAGUGAAUCUUAAACAAAUACAGGGAAAAUGGCAGGAUUCAAAACACUGGCAUCUGACUGUGGCAACUCAAUUACCCGAGUUAGCAGAAACCCAGCGAGAAGGAGGCAGAGGCUUCUAUGACUCCAGGAAUGGGAGGCGAAGUGGCAGCUUUAAUAGAAACAGAUUCAGAAAUAGAGGCCAGAAACGAAGUUUUGACUGAGCAUUUGAUCACUAGCUCUAACAAUAAAAUUUGCAGAAAUGAGACUAAAAUAUUUUUAUCCACAUUAAAAAAAGUCAUGUUCAUUCUAUGUUUGUGCCACUAGCAAAAUCUGUCAUUCAAAAUGUGUUUUUUCCAGUAUUGCUAGGGAUGGCUGUAUACAGGACCAAUUCAGAGAACAACAAUUCAGUUUAUAAAAAAUUAUGCCUUAUCUUCCCCACAGCUACGACUAAAGAAUAUUCAUCAGCCUCCUCCACAGCGCCUUGUUCCAGGAUGUGUCUUUUGCAAUCAGAAAUCUGGCUUGGGUUUACUACACAGUAUAUAUCAAAAUCUCCAUUUGAAUUGGUCUCCAGUGGUGACUGAAACCUGUCCACUUUCCAAAAUAAUUAAAUUAUUAUUUCUACAUGGUCA